AGGAAGAGACUGGCUGUCCUGGCAAUUCCCAGCAGGAUUUGUUUCUCUUAGAUCAGUGGAAAGGAAAAUGGAAAUAUAAAAAUCAUAACUGGGGUGCAGGAAGGUGAUGGCGACAGCGGGGUGGCAGGACGGGGCAUCUCCUGAGGCGGGCUCCGGUUGGCUGGGCGAGUGGCAGGUCCCAGCUGGCUGCUCAGUGAACCUGCAACUUCCUCAUCUUUAUAAUGGACAGGAUGUCACAGGUGUAAAGGUUCAACAGGAAAAUACACAUAAUUCCAUUUCCUCCUUCAAAGGGGCUGCAACGUAUUCAAGGAAGAUGAGCAAAGUUGAUAGUUUUUGUGUUUUGUGCAUUCAACAAACAUUUCCUGAGCAUCCGUUAUGCAUCGGGUGUCGGGGAGAUGGCCGUGGCCCCUGUACUUCCAGAGCU
rnacentral:lncRNA from 1 species